AUUGAACGCUGGCGGCAGGCCUAACACAUGCAAGUCGAACGAGCGGCGGACGGGUGAGUAAUGUCUGGGGAUCUGCCCGAUGGAGGGGGAUAACUACUGGAAACGGUAGCUAAUACAGCAUACCAUCGGAUGAGCCCAUAUGGGAUUAGCUAGUAGGUGGGGUAACGGCUCACCUAGGCGACGAUCCCUAGCUGGUCUGAGAGGAUGAUCAGCCACACUGGAACUGAGACACGGUCCAGACUCCUACGGGAGGCAGCAGUGGGGAAUAUUGCACAAUGGGCGCAAGCCUGAUGCAGCCAUGCCGCGUGUAUGAAGAAGGCCUUAGGGUUGUAAAGUACUUUCAGCGGGGAGGCGUUACCCGCAGAAGAAGCACCGGCUAACUCCGUGCCAGCAGCCGCGGUAAUAC
rnacentral:rRNA from 1 species